rnacentral:rRNA from 1 species
CUAGAAACAAAGUGAGGCGAGACGGAGACGUUAAGCAAAGCACAAAAACCUAGUCCCAGUUCGGAUUGUAGUCUGCAACUCGCCUACAUGAAGCUGGAGUUACUAGUAAUCGCAGAUCAGAAUGCUGCGGUGAAUGCGUUCCCGGGUCUUGUACACACCGCCCGUCACACCACGGAAGUUGGGGGCGCCCGAAGCCACUUAGCUAACCCUUUUGGGAAGCGAGUGUCGAAGGUGAAAUCAAUAACUGGGGUGAAGUCGUAACAAGGUACC